CCUACGGGUGGCAGCAGUCGAGAAUCAUUCACAAUGGGGGAAACCCUGAUGGUGCGACGCCGCGUGCGGGAAUGAAGGUCUUCGGAUUGUAAACCCCUGUCAUGUGAGAGCAAAUUAAAAAGAUAGUACCACAAGAGGAAUAGACGGCUAACUCUGUGCCAGCAACCGCGGUAAUACAGAGGUCUCAAUCGUUGUUGGGAAUCACUGGUCGAAAAGCGUGCGUAGGCUGUUUCGUAAGUCGUGUGUGAAAGGCCGGGGCUCAAGCCGCGGACGUCACAUGAUACUGCGAGACUAGAGUAAUGGAGGGGGAACCGGAAUUCUCGGUGUAGCAGUGAAAUGCGUAGAUAUCGAGAGGAACACUCGUGGCGAAGGCGGGUUCCUGGACAUUAACUGACGCUGAGGCACGAAGGCCAGGGGAGCGAAAGGGAUUAGAUACCCUUGUAGU
rnacentral:rRNA from 1 species